rnacentral:snRNA from 1 species
GUGCUUAGCCCAGCAGCAUGUAUACUAAAAUUGGAACUAUAAAGGGAACAUUCGCAUCACCCUUCCACAAAGGCAGAGUGGAAAUUCAUAAUGUUCUCUAUAGUACUUUUUU